CAGCCGUAAACUAUGCGCGUUAGGUGUAUCGGUGACCACGAGUCACCGAGGUGCCGAAGGGAAACCGUGAAACGUGCCGCCUGGGAAGUACGGUCGCAAGGCUGAAACUUGAAGGAAUUGGCGGGGGAGCACCACAACGGGUGGAGCCUGCGGUUUAAUUGGACUCAACGCCGGACAACUCACCGGGGACGACAGCAAUAUGUAGGCCAGGCUGAAGACCUUGCCUGAAUCGCUGAGAGGAGGUGCAUGGCGUAG
rnacentral:rRNA from 1 species